UCCACCAGCUAAUGGGCAGUGCAAUUUACGCUGAACUAAAACAGCAUAAGUGGUAGAAUACUUCAUAGAAACAUUUAGCGUUAUUAGAUGUGAUGAAAAUCUGCAAAGUAUAAAAAGUAAAAAAAUUUAGCAUGAAACUGUUAGAGAUAACGCCUCUGACAGUUUUUU
ncrna:unclassified sequences FuFi-1 RNA